AGCGAACGCUGGCGGCAGGCCUAACACAUGCAAGUCGAACGGCAGCACAGCAGUAGCAAUACUGUGGGUGGCGAGUGGCGGACGGGUGAGGAAUACAUCGGAAUCUGCCUUAUCGUGGGGGAUAACGUAGGGAAACUUACGCUAAUACCGCAUACGACCUACGGGUGAAAGCGGAGGACCUUCGGGCUUCGCGCGAUAAGAUGAGCAGAGGUCGGAUUAGCUAGUUGGCGGGGUAAAGGCACACCAAGGCGACGAUCCUUAGCUGGUCUGAGUGGAUGAUCAGCCGGACGGAAACGGAGACACGGUCCGGACUCCGACGGGAGGCAGCAGUGGGGAAUAUUGGACAAUGGGCGCAAGCCUGAGCCAGCCAUGCCGCGUGGGGGAAGAAGGCAUACGGGUUGUAAAGACCUUUUGUCCGGAAAGAAAAGCACUGGGUUAAUACGCUGGUGUUCUGACGGUACCGGAAGAAUAAGCACCGGCUAACUUCGUGCCAGACGCCGCAGUAA
rnacentral:rRNA from 1 species